GGCACUAGUCUGUCUGAGAAUGCAUCAGUUACCUUCACCGUUCACUGCCGUCAUGACUACUAAGGUUAUGUUAUUGGCCGCCCUUGUGGCUGCAGCCCUCGCUAGGCCUGACCGACAGUACAGCCCCCCCACUCCUGCAUACAACACCCAGCCCCCUCCUACAACGCCCCCGCUCACCCGAGACCUUCCUACUCUGCUGCUCCUGCUUAUCCUGACACUCCUCCCCAGUACAACACCCAGUACAUCGUGAGAGAUGAUCACUCAAACAACGACUUCGGCCAUGAAGAAUCCCGUGACGGCUACAACACCCAGGGUACCUACUCCGUGCUGCUUCCCGACGGCUGUGCAGAGGGUGACUUAUCACGUCGACGGUGACUCCGGCUACGUGGCUGAGGUGACCUACGAGGGUGAGGCCCUGUACCCAGCCUACCAUCCUGCCCCAGCACCCUCCUACAGGCCCGCUCCUACACCCUCUUACACGCCAGCAGCCAGCUAUGCCUAAAUAGUAAUGAACACCAUUGCAUAUAUUAACCAACUUACCUGAAUAAAAAUUAAUUUAUAAA